rnacentral:tRNA from 2 species
CCGCCGCUCCGGGCGGUGAUCCGCCGCCUUCUCGCGGCGGCCGACGCGCUCUACGCCCGCUCCGAGCCGGGGGUGGCGGG